rnacentral:lncRNA from 1 species
AGUUGCUCAUGAUUUAAAAAUGUCGGACGAAUUGUUUUUGAUCUGCCUUUCUUCUUUUUUUUUUCAAAAAAAAGAAAAAAGGGUACUUAUAAUCUGCUGUCCAUCUUAAUCUUACAAAAAAAUUACAUGAAAUUCGAUUGGUUCAGAUAUAACCAUGUAUCAAAUCACAAUAUCGGAGUUAUCAUUUUUUUAUUCAGAAAAAAAGGGUACUUAUAAUCUGCUGUACCUCUUAAUCUUACAAAA